GUCAUGGUAUUUCAGUCUUAAUUCUGGCCGAGCUGGGACAGCUACACAGGAAGAGAAGAAACAAUUAGGAUUUAUGUUAAGCUAAUUACAAGGAACUAUUCCAGCGGCAUUAUCUGUUAACUCACACUGACAACACAGGCCUUCCAAAGUUAACAACAGUGACUCCAAACCCCCUACUUAAAUCAAGUGAAGAACAGCUCUGUUCCAAAAUGGCUGCCUGCUAGAGGAGGAAUACAACCCAAUGCAGUUCUGACUUCAUGUGCUGCAAGAUAUACUGGAAUGGGAACAUAAAACUCUCAGGUGCUUGUUACAUGGAGAAAUAUUUUUCAGCUGCUGAUGUUGCCUACGUAUUGUUUUCUGUGAAAAGCCUUGAUCCAGAAAGACGGCACCACAACCAGGAGGACAAUUGAAACAGCAAGAGAAUUCAGAGACACAUGCAUAUUGCUGAGGCAAAUGUUCUGCCAGUGCAACUUGUUCCCUGAAGAUGGAGAGACUUUUUGAGAAUGCCAGCUCGCUGCAGUUAAUACUAGAGGAUGUGGGAGGUGAGGUUAUCAGCCAUGGAUACUGCUCCCUGAAGCAGAAGACAAAUCUGUGAACUUCUAGUGCAAUUCUUCUUCUGUUCUUUCACUGAAACUUAUCUGGUUGAUCCAGGUUCCAGUUGUGAUUUCCUAUUGAUCAUCGUCUUACAAUGAAUAAUUAGAGAUCUUACAGGAUCAGCAAAUAAGAUAAGAAUUACUUCAAGUUAGCCUUUUCACGGGGAAGGAACUGAGCAAAACUCACAAUAA